UACAGCCCACUAUGUGUAGGUCUACAGUCAGUUCCUAUGGUUACGGGUACUGUACAGCCCACUAUGUGUGUAGGCCUACAGUCAGUUCCUGUGGUUACAGGUACUGUACAGCCCACUAUGUGUAGGCCUACAGUCAGUUCCUGUGGUUACGGGUACUGUACAGCCCACUAUGUGUAGGCCUACACACUCUGUCUGUCUCUACUUAACCAGACGUGCAGACUGAGCAGUAGAGCUCUCCAGUGGUUCCUAGUCGGUCUGCCCGUCCGUCUGCCCCUCCACUCUCCAAACACAGAAAGAACACACUGUCCUUUUUAGGCAGAGAGAGAGGACCCACCCCUUCAGUUGCUACUGUCAGGAGUUGCAUAACUCUCUCUGUGGUGAAUGCUGUUUGCAUGGCUGGACACACACCCUAUAACCAGGUUAUUCACCAAGCCAGAGAGAGGUUUGACUCUGGGCUCUCUGUUACUAUUCACCAAGCCACAGAGAGGUUUGACUCUGGGCUCUCUGUUACUAUUCACCAAGCCAGAGAGAGGUUUGACUCUGGGCUCUCUGCUACUAUUCACCAAGCCGGCUCUGCUGAACAAGAUGAUGUGGUAACAGAGAGAGGUUUGACUCUGGGCUCUCUGCUACUAUUCACCAAGCCGGCUCUGCUGAACAAGAUGAUGUGGUAACAGAGAGAGGUUUGACUCUGGGCUCUCUGCUACUAUUCACCAAGCCGGCUCUGCUGAACAAGAUGAUGUGGUAACAGAGAGAGGUUUGACUCUAGGGCUCUCUGCUACUAUUCACCAAGCCGGCUCUGCUGACCAAGAUGAUGUGGUAACAGAGAGGUUUGACUCUGGGCUCUCUGCUACUAUUCACCAAGCCGGCUCUGCUGAACAAGAUGAUGUGGUAACAGAGAGGUUUGACUCUGGGCUCUCUGUUACUAUUCACCAAGCCGGCUCUGCUGAACAAGAUGAUGUGGUAACAGAGAGGUUUGACUCUAGGGCUCUCUGCUCCGUCUUUGUUGUUCUAUGCUAAUAGUUCAAUGGCACGAAGGCUGUUCAUGUUGGAAUGUCACAUUAACUUCACACACACACACACACACACACACACGACCCGCCAGGUGUUGAUUUCC